rnacentral:rRNA from 1 species
AGUGAACGCUGGCGGUAGGCCUAACACAUGCAAGUCGAACGGCAGCACAGAGGAGCUUGCUCCUUGGGAGGCGAGUGGCGGACGGGUGAGGAAUACAUCGGAAUCUACUCUGUCGUGGGGGAUAACGUAGGGAAACUUACGCUAAUACCGCAUACGACCUACGGGUGAAAGCAGGGGACCUUCGGGCCUUGCGCGAUUGAAUGAGCCGAUGUCGGGUUAGCUAGUUGGCGGGGUAAAGGCCCACCAAGGCGACGAUCCGUAGCUGGUCUGAGAGGAUGAUCAGCCACACUGGAACUGAGACACGGUCCAGACUCCUACGGGAGGCAGCAGUGGGGAAUAUUGGACAAUGGGCGCAAGCCUGAUCCAGCCAUACCGCGUGGGUGAAGAAGGCCUUCGGGUUGUAAAGCCCUUUUGUUGGGAAAGAAAUCCAGUUGGCUAAUACCCGGUUGGGAUGACGGUACCCAAAGAAUAAGCACCGGCUAACUUCGUGCCAGCAGCCGCCGUAA